rnacentral:rRNA from 1 species
AGUGAACGCUGGCGGUAGGCCUAACACAUGCAAGUCGAACGGCAGCACAGUAAGAGCUUGCCCUUACGGGUUGCGAGUGGCGGACGGGUGAGGAAUACAGCGGAAUCUACUUUUUCGUUGGGGAUAACGUAGGUAAACUUACGCGAAUACCGCAUUCGACCCAUGGGUGAAAGCAGGGGAUCUUUGGACCUUUCGUGGUUGAAUGAGCCGAUGUCGGAUUCGUUAGUUGGCGGGGUAAAGGCCAACCAAGGCGACGAUCCGGAGCUGGUCUGAGGGGAUGAACCGCCACACUGGCAGUGAGACACGUUCCCGACUCUUACGGGGAGAAGCAGUGGGGAAUCUUAGACAAUGGACGAAAGGCUGAUCCAGCACUACCGCCUGAAUGCUGAAGGCCUUCGGCUUGUAGAGCCCUUUUGUUGGGAAAGAAAAAAAGCACGUUAAUACCCCGUUGUUAUGACAGUACCCGAAGAAUAAGCCCCGGCUAACUUCGUG